rnacentral:rRNA from 1 species
GACGAACGCUGGCGGCGUGCUUAACACAUGCAAGUCGAACGGAAAGGCCCUGCUUUUGUGGGGUUCUCGAGUGGCGAACGGGUGAGUAACACGUGAGUAACCUGCCCUUGACUUUGGGAUAACUUCAGGAAACUGGGGCUAAUACCGGAUAGGAUCUCCUGCUGCAUGGUGGGGGUUGGAAAGUUUCGGCGGUUGGGGAUGGACUCGCGGCUUAUCAGCUUGUUGGUGGGGUAGUGGCUUACCAAGGCUUUGACGGGUAGCCGGCCUGAGAGGGUGAACGGGCACAUUGGGACUGAGAUACGGACCAGACUCCUACGGGAGGCAGCAGUGGGGAAUAUUGCACAAUGGGCGGAAGCCUGAUGCAGCAACGCCGCGUGCGGGAUGACGGUCUUCGGGUUGUAAACCGCUUUCGCCUGUGACGAAGCGUGAGUGACGGUAAUGGGUAAAGAAGCACCGGCUAACUACGUG